CAGCAGCCGCGGUAAUACGAAGGGUGCAAGCGUUACACGGAAUUACUGGGCGUAAAGCGUGCGUAGGUGGUUGUGUAAGACAGGUGUGAAAUCCCCGGGCUUAACCUGGGAACUGCGCUUGUGACUGCACAGCUAGAGUAUGGCAGAGGGGGGUGGAAUUCCACGUGUAGCAGUGAAAUGCGUAGAGAUGUGGAGGAACACCGAUGGCGAAGGCAGCCCCCUGGGCCAAUACUGACGCUCAUGCACGAAGGCGUGGGGAGCAAACAGGAUUAGAUACCCCCGUAGUCCCUGUCUCUUAUAC
rnacentral:rRNA from 1 species